ACUGCCGGUAAUAAACCGGAGGAAGGUGGGGAUGACGUCAAAUCAUCAUGCCCCUUAUGACCUGGGCUACACACGUGCUACAAUGGUUGGUACAACGAGUUGCGAGUCGGUGACGGCGAGCUAAUCUCUUAAAGCCAAUCUCUAGGUUCGGAUUGUAGGCUGCAACUCGCCUACAUGAAGUCGGAAUCGCUAGUAAUCGCGGAUCAGCACGCCGCGGUGAAUACGUUCCCGGGCCUU
rnacentral:rRNA from 1 species